GGGGACACUGGAGAAGGCAUCAGCUGAGGACACAGCUGUGGAGAAAGAACAGAGUUUGCAGACAGAGAGAUAGAGAGGAGCGUUCGGUAGCCAUCUGCAGGGGGAGACUGCAUUUAUUAAUGGUUACUUUGUAUACUUUUUGUCUCAGUCGCUGUUUCAUUGUUGGGAAGAGACACCAUGGCCAGGGUGAGGCAAACAGACCUGAAGUGACCCACCCGGGGUCACAUAUUUAGAAAGGGGUGAAGACUGGUUCACACACAACCUCUGAGACACAAGAUCUUGCUCGCUUCUACUCCCUGGCUGCGAAGUCUCCUAGGACCAUAUGUAAGGCAUUAUUCUUUAAGGUGUGUGUCCGGCCAAGGCAUCCUAGACUUAACCCUGUCCUGAUCUGACACUGCCAACAGCUUAAAGAUGCUGCAGGAGCAUGCUAGCUGCCAGAGUGAUUGGUGAGACAUACUGAUGCUGGGACAAAGAAUGAUGCUGAGCUUGCUGAGUGCCCUGACAAUGGUGAUAGGAAAGCUGUAUUGGACAUAUGUUCUUGACCAAACUUUGCUUGCCUGUGUCCCAGAUUGGACAAGCUGCCUUGCUUCAAGCUUUUAGACCUUGUGGGACAGAGAACAUGGAGACUGUGGAAACUGACUUAGAAAAAUUAAUCAAAAGGAGAAGUUA
rnacentral:lncRNA from 1 species